GCGGCCCCGCCCCCCCCGCGGUGGGGAGCCGGUGCCUGCGCACUGUGGGCCCCGGCCCGCAGCCGGGGAUGGGCCAAUGUCCGCGCCUUCCUCUCCCGUUUCUUUCCUCUCCCCUCUCCUUCCUCUCCCCGCUCCGGCGCCCGGGCUGCUCUGGGGACGCUCCGAGUGCGGCUCCCGGGCCGCUCCUGUCCGCGGUGUGGGGGCUGCGCUUGCGUGGGGUGAAGGCGCCGGUGGAGCGCGUGAGCAAAUGCUCGGCGACACUUCGGGCACUUGGGGCGGAGUGGGAUUUCUGGAGGGGUGAUCAUCUCCCGAAGGCAGCUGUGAGCGCAGCCCCCACACUUUGUGCGUCGUGUGUGAGCUUGACUUGAUCUCGGUCUAAUCUGGUAAUGAGAAUCUGAAAAGGGGCCUAAGCUGUCCUUGGCACCCAGUGAAAAGUUUGCUACGGGCUGGUCCACGUUGGCCAUGUUUCCAAGCUCUCCGUUUGGAGGCUGUGCCAGAUGAGAUGGAAAAAGGCUGGGGAGCUGCUGGACAAUGGCUUUCACAGGGAACUCCAAGCAAGUGCAGAAAUGUAUUGCUGAGUUUAGAGAGAGAAAUGGAAGAAUAAGUAUUACUGCUGAUAACUUGCAUAUUACUUGUAGCCAUUGUAAGGAAGAACUGGUACUGGCUGCCCAGGGAAGUGCUUGAGUCCCCAUCCCUGAAGGUUACAGAGCUGCCAGUGGAAGACCCUCAGCACUACAAAAUGCUAAAACAUCCAAGGCCCCAUACAGUGCUUGGUUUUAGCUGAUGAAUUAGUGUCUGCAAGAAACAGAAUCACAGAAAAAGCUGAGUUGGAGGGAACCCUGAAGAAUCAAGUCAAACUCCUGGCCCUGCACAGGACCAUACCCAAGAGUCACACCAGGUGCCUAAGAGUAUUGUCCAAAUGCUGCAUGAACUCUGUCAGGCUGGUGCUGUGACCACUUCCCUGGGAGCCUGUUCCAGUGCCCAACUACACUCCAGGCAACUAGCAACAAGGCAAGAGGAGAAAGCCUCAAGCAGUGCCAGGGAAGAUUCAGAUUGGACAUCAGGAAGGAUUUUUUCACAGAAAAGGUUGUCAAGCAUUGGAACAGGCUGCACAAGAAUGUGUUGGAGUCACCAUCCCUCGAGGUGUUCAAGCAACAACUGGUCAUGGCACUGAGUGCUAUGGUCUAGUUGACAAAGUGGUGACUGGUCAAAGGUUGGAAUCACGGAAUCACAGAAUCAUAGAAUAAGCUGAAGGAAGGCAGCCACAAGGAUCAUCAAAUCUGGCUCCCUGCACAGCACCAUCUCCAAGAGUCACACCUUGUGCCCAGGAGAAUUGUCCAAACUUUCCUUGAACUUUGUCGGGCUUGGUGCUGUGACCAUUUCCCUGGGGAUCCUGUUCCAGUGCCCAACCACCCUCUGGGUGAAGAACCUUCCUCUAAUAUCCAACCUAAACCUCCCUUAACACAAUUUCAGGCCAUUCCCUUGGGUCCUGUCUUGGAUCACCACAGAGAAGAGAUCAGUGUCUGCCCCUCCUCUUCUCACAAGGAAGUUGUAACUGCAAUGAGGUCUCCCCUCUUCUCCAGACUGAACAGACCAAGUGACCUUAGAUGGUCCCCAUACAGCUUCUCCUCAAGGCCCUUCACCACCUUUGUUGCCCUCCUUUGGACAAUUUCUGAUAUUUUUCUGUCUUUUAUUGUGUCACUCAGAACUGCCCCCAGCACUCAAGGUGAGGCUGCCCCAGUGCAGAGCAGAGCAGGACAAUCCCCUCCCUUGCCUGGCUGGCGAUGCUGUGCCUGAUGCCCCCCAGGACAAGGUUGGCUCUCCUGGCUGCCAGGGCACUGCUGGCUCAUGUUCAACUUGCCAUUGAUCAGGACUCCCAGCUUCCUUCACAUGGCACUGCUAUUCAGUCCCAUUCCUCAGUCUGUACAUACACACUUGAGGGUCUUGUUCAGCCUAAAUGAUUCUAUGAAAUAACACUUUUUUUUUUUUUUUUCAACAAAUGUGCACUUGUCUUUAAUCUCUUCCUCAAUGUGCUUUAUUCAUGCUGGUCUGUGUUAUGGGGGGUGGCAGGGAGAGGGAUGUAGUAACUUGAGAACAAACCUUCAGGUCCUCAUUCUGUGCAUGUCACAGAUAUUCUGUUAAGAGAACCACACAGUGUGCUAACAUUUCUCCAGAGCCAUAUGUAGUCUAUCUUGACAGACAAUGAAGGAUGGGUGCUUCUCAGCAUUGAUAUUGGUAAAAAUUAUCUGCAAAGAGAAUGUGAGUUCCCACAAUACUUAUUUUCUGGAUCUUGCUCUUUUUCUGUGUUACUUUUUUAUAUUUGGUAUUCCUACAUAACUGAAAAAAAUAUUACAUACUCUUUUAUGUGGUUACUGUUUUUUUGCUGGUCUCAUAAAUAACUUGCAGUGUUUUCUGACUUGGCAUAGUAAAACUCCCAAAUUUCCUCAACAGUGUAAAUUUCUGGAGACCAAUAGGUGUAAAUUGCUCUGAAGAGAAUGCUGAUUUCUUUGCUCUUCUCUAGGCCAAAUCCUAUAAUGGAAGAGCUCAUCUGUCCAACUGCUUUCUUUUUUACAAGUGCAUAUCAUUAUAUCAGUCUGGAUUUUCCAAAGAAAAAAUACAAGUAUUUGAGACUGUCAU